rnacentral:lncRNA from 1 species
UAUCCAGGACCACCAAAUCUAUCGGUAAUUCUCUUUCUCCUAUUCUGAUACUACAUGACUUGCACACACUUUCGGUACUCAAAAUACCACCUACAGGUGUCUCAACAUAUAAUUUAAUUUUCAUAGGUUCACAUACUAUAUCAUGUUGUCUAAUAAAAGUAGUAGAUAUAAAGGAGUGUGUAGCACCAGAAUCAAACAAAACUGAAGCAUGAAUAUCAGAUACAGGAAUGAUACCUGUCACCACAGCAUUGGAGGCC